rnacentral:rRNA from 1 species
UACAGAGGUGGCAAGCGUUGUUCGGAAUUACUGGGCGUAAAGGGCGCGUAGGCGGUUCGAUAAGUCCCGUGUGAAAUCCCUCGGCUCAACUGAGGAACUGCACGGGAAACUGACGGGCUUGAGUUCGGGAGAGGGAAGCGGAAUUCCGGGUGUAGCGGUGAAAUGCGUAGAUAUCCGGAGGAACACCGGUGGCGAAGGCGGCUUCCUGGACCGACACUGACGCUGAGGCGCGAAAGCUAGGGGAGCAAACAGG